rnacentral:rRNA from 1 species
GACGAACGCUGGCGGCGUGCUUAACACAUGCAAGUCGAACGGAAAGGCCCUGCUUUUGUGGGGUGCUCGAGUGGCGAACGGGUGAGUAACACGUGAAUAACCUGCCCUUGACUUUGGGAUAACUUCAGGAAACUGGGGCUAAUACCGGAUAGGAGCUCCUGCUGCAUGGUGGGGGUUGGAAAGUUUCGGCGGUUGGGGAUGGACUCGCGGCUUAUCAGCUUGUUGGUGGGGCAGUGGCUUACCAAGGCUUUGACGGGUAGCCGGCCUGAGAGGGUGACCGGCCACAUUGGGACUGAGAUACGGCCCAGACUCCUACGGGAGGCAGCAGUGGGGAAUAUUGCACAAUGGGCGGAAGCCUGAUGCAGCAACGCCGCGUGCGGGAUGACGGCCUUCGGGUUGUAAACCGCUUUCGCCUGUGACGAAGCGUGAGUGACGGUAAUGGGUAAAGAAGCACCGGCUAACUACGUG